CCAGCCUAUAACAAACACACGGAUCAUGUGUCAAAAUAAUGCUAAUUGUGGCACACAAAAACAUUUACAUCAUGUCAUAAAGAAGUUCCGAGGUUAGUAAGUUAGUAUCAUGCCUCCAUUGAAGCAAGUUUCUUCUCGGCAUCUCUCUGAGCUUGUCGAGCACUGUCCACUUCACCCUGCCAUGCUUGAAUCUGCAUAAUUAGAGUAUUUCUAAGAUGUGAAACGACUACAGUAGAAGAAUUAAGGUAUGAUACAUGACUUAUCAGAGUUACCAAGGGAUCGUAAAUACUUUUUGCAUAUAAGUUCUUGGUUUUUACUUCUAACAAAAAAAUUAAAGUGUGCAAAGAGCUCACAAUUCACAAUUGAAGUUAACUUCCACAACGUAGAGCAUGAUAACCUAAAAAUACAUACAUGUGUCACUUGGUUUGGUUCAUCCGGAGAUUUCGUUUGCCCUCUGCGAGCACGAACUUCCAUAUCUUGCAACUCUUGAUCCAGAGAUGUACAUUCCACCUGCGUAUCAUUUGCCAAUUCUUCUAAUGAAGUUCAAAUAUAUGAUAAUGGGGGAACAAAAUGAGAGGCUAGAAACCUGAAGGGACGACAAUUUUCCUUCGUUCAGAGCAGCCUGGUUUUUCAAGGCAUCCAUUGUGCUGACAAGUGCUUCUUUCUACCUCUGAGUUCGUAGCUGCUAGUGCCUCAACCAUGCUUGACUCUACUUUCGACACUUUUCUUUUAGAAGAUGAUAAAUAUUUUUGUAACUAUCUAAUGCUAGCUUCAUAUGACUUGGUCAGCUCUUGCUAUAACAGUAAAAAAAAUGAAGAAAUAAAAUUAGGUGGCUUCAAGUAUCACUUUUUCUUAUAUGGGUACAAAAUACACUAAAGAAGCUGUUCAAAUUUACCUCUGCAGUGAGAGACUCUUCCAACUGUGCAUUUUCUUCCUUAAUCUUUUGCAGACAGUCCAGCACAAACCUAGAUGUAUAUGAGGACAAACAAAUGAAGCAUAUAUCUGAAAUUGGUAACGUCCAAACACUAGCAUGAAUUAAUUCUAUCGGACAGAUAAAAGAGUGUUUAAUCACCCAUUUGAUGCACAAAGGAUAUUUGAGCUUAACCUAGCUUCUUUUGACUGCCCAAAGAAAACCGUAGCUUUUAACAACCCCUGAGCCUAGAAUUAGUGAAGAAAUUGUUCAACAGGCUUUUGAUGACAACAUACAUGCAAGUAGCAGAUAUAGUAUGUGUUAUUUUUCAUCAUUUUCCCAGAGACUAACUAACCUCUUCAAGCUGAUGUUGAAUCUUCAUGGAAUUUGUAUUGGUGGAGGUAUUAUGUUCCUAUGUUCUUUAUCCAAAUUGACUGAGAUACCAACUUUCUCUUACGCCUCAUUUCCUGUGCUUUGAAUCACAGUUCCUUGGCCUAAAGGAGAAACAUGCACCACAGAUUCCAUUUAUCCAAAUCUCUUUUAAAAAAUAUUCUGAGCAUCAACCAGGUUUGCGGUUGCAACGGUUGCACCAAAGUGUCAUUUGGAACAGCUCCAUCAGCUUGCUUGUCAUUUGGAGUUGGCUCAGCAGCGCAACAGAACCAAUAGCUACCACAGCAGCAUCUUCACUUUUUGUGUCUGCCACAGACUGUGGAAGUGACAGAACACUCUGAACAUCUGUAUCAGUCGGUUGAAUCUCUAGAGGUAGGCACCUCCGACUGCGAAACUCCUGGUCCAGAUUGAUCACCCAAAAAAUCUCUAUUAUUAGAAGAUUCUUCCUUGACAACUUUACUUUCUGCCGAGCCUACAAAUACAGUCCAGAAAGGAAGAAGAUGAUGUUGAGUAUGGAUGGUACCAAACAAAGAGAACGACUUACAUAUAAGAGAAGCAAUGUAAAUACCUUUCCCUUUGAACUUUUAAUCUCUUUGCUUGGGACCCUUUCUUAUUAGAAGCUAAACAAAAGAGAAAACAUAAUAUAAGAGACAGAUACAUGACUAAAACCAAAAUUGUAAAGAUGUGAGCCAAUAAUGCCAAUGUUUCUAAAUA